UCUCAGAACUCCUCCUGAGGCAAAAAGGCGU
rnacentral:piRNA from 1 species